CAGCAGCCGCGGGAAAACGAAGGGGGCUAGCGUUGUUCGGAUUUACUGGGCGUAAAGGGUGCGUAGGCGGAUUGUUAAGUCAGGGGUGAAAUCCCGAGGCUCAACCUCGGAACUGCCUUUGAUACUGGCGAUCUUGAGUCCGGGAGAGGUGAGUGGAACUGCGAGCGUAGCGGUGAAAUGCGUAGAGAUCGGGAGGAACAUCAGUGGCGAAGGCGGCCAUCUGGGACAACACUGACGCUGAGGCACGAAAGCGUGGGGAGCAAACAGGAUUAGAUACCCCUGUAGUCCCUGUCUCUUAUAC
rnacentral:rRNA from 1 species